rnacentral:rRNA from 1 species
CAGUCGCCGCGGGAAUACGUAGGUGGCAAGCGUUGUCCGGAAUUAUUGGGCGUAAAGCGCGCGCAGGCGGAUAGGUCAGUCUGUCUUAAAAGUUUGGGGCUUAACCCCGUGAUGGGAUGGAAACUGCCAAUCUAGAGUAUCGGAGAGGAAAGUGGAAUUCCUAGUGUAGCGGUGAAAUGCGUAGAUAUUAGGAAGAACACCAGUGGCGAAGGCGACUUUCUGGACGAAAACUGACGCUGAGGCGCGAAAGCCAGGGGAGCGAACGGGAUUAGAUACCCCCGUAGUCCCUGUCUCUUAUACA